GUGAGGAAUUUUCCGCAAUGGGCGAAAGCCUAACGGAGCAAUGCCGCGUGAAGGAUGAAGGCCUAUGGGUUGUAAACUUCUUUUCUCAGAAAAGAAUUAUGACGGUAUCUGAGGAAUAAGCAUCGGCUAACUCUGUGCCAGCAGCCGCGGUAAGACAGAGGAUGCAAGCGUUAUCCGGAAUGAUUGGGCGUAAAGCGUCUGUAGGUUGUUUAAAAAGUAUUCUGUCAAAGAUUAGGGCUUAACCCUAGAUAGGCAGAAUAAACUUUUAAGCUAGAGUUUGGUAGAGGCAGAGGGAAUUCCCGGUGGAGCGGUGAAAUGCGUAGAUAUCGGGAGGAACACCAAAGGCGAAGGCACUCUGCUGGGCCAAUACUAACACUGAGAGACGAAAGCGAGGGGAGCAAAUGGGAUUAGAAACCCCUGUAGUCC
rnacentral:rRNA from 1 species